UACGGGGGGGGUAAGCGUUGUUCGGAAUUACUGGGCGUAAAGGGCUCGUAGGCGGCCAACUAAGUCAUACGUGAAAUCCCUCAGCUUAACUGGGGAACUGCGUGUGAUACUGGAUGGCUUGGAUUUGGGAGAGGGAUGCGGAAUUCCAGGUGUAGCGGUGAAAUGCGUAGAUAUCGGGAGGAACACCAGUGGCGAAGGCGACUUCCUGGCCUGUUCUUGACGCUGAGGCGCGAAAGCUAGGGUAGCAAACGGG
rnacentral:rRNA from 1 species